rnacentral:rRNA from 1 species
UACGUAGGGUGCAAGCGUUAAUCAGAAUUACUGGGCGUAAAGCGUGCGCAGGCGGUUUUGUAAGUCUGUCGUGAAAUCCCCGGGCUCAACCUGGGAAUUGCGAUGGAGACUGCAAGGCUAGAAUCUGGCAGAGGGGGGUAGAAUUCCACGUGUAGCAGUGAAAUGCGUAGAGAUGUGGAGGAACACCGAUGGCGAAGGCAGCCCCCUGGGUCAAGAUUGACGCUCAUGCACGAAAGCGUGGGGAGCAAACAGG